rnacentral:lncRNA from 1 species
CUCUGAGUCAAGUCACACUUGGAGAGACAUGAUCCAGGCGUGUGGGUGAGCUACUGCUGGAUGGAGAAGUUGGUCUACAGCUGCAGGGAAUCAAAAUUGCUAUCAGCAGAGUUUCCCCACACUUGAGGGAGGCCUGAGGGAACACUCAGUGUGAUAAUGAACAGCUGCCUAGUGUGCCACUUGCUAGUGAUAGGGGGUCAGUAAAGAUGUGUUAGUGUUUGAGUUUUCAGAAGUUGUAAUAAGGAACAAGCCACAGAGAUUUCCUAUGAAGAGGCUCCCCAGCCUUAGCACCGUUGAUAACUUUGGAUUGGGCAAAUGUGGUCAGUGUAUGUGUGUCAGAGGAUGUUUUCCACCUGCUCUGUGGAGGUCAGGAGUAACACUCCUCCCUCAAGUUGUGACAACCCAACCAUUGCUAAAUGUUCCCUGGGAGGGAACACCGUACCCCAUUGAGAGCCACUGCUAUAAGCUAAUUUUCCUCCAUUUACAUGGACCUAGGUCAUCUUAGAAUUAUGUUUCCUUCCUUCAACAUUUUUAACAAGCAAUUACAUCUUGUUGUCUAACACACCAAACCAGACCUCCAUUUCUGUUCACCUGCUCCUUGGGAUUGCUUCAUGAAACUGCCCCCAGACUUAAAGGGCCAAUAAAGUUACUUGCUGAACAGUGUCCAGUCCUUCCCUUUGUCUUUUGUUAGAAAGGCAAAAGAUGAAUAAGUUGGAUAUAAAAGCCAGCUGAUUUAUGCUUUUCUUUUUUCCUGGGAGAGGGAUUCUGCAUUAAUUCAUUGGAAAAAUGAGUUAGUGCCUUUUGUACAAGGAAUAGUGUCAAGGUCUGUGCUGAGAAGAUAUUUCAGCCUGACUGUGACACAGUGGAUAAGAUGUGAUAUAUUUUGCCUCAAUAUCAAUGAUUUUGUCAUCCUCAUUAAAUGAACCUGUUGAUGGUGCUUACCUGGAUGACAAUGAGCUAUUGUUCCCCAAGAUCUCUGUAGAAUGUGCGGGUGUACCUGGGUGCUAAAUUGCCCUGUCAGGCUGGCUCUUGGGGCUCUCAUAUCACUACAUGCCACACUUUUAUUGAGUUUGUCAUCAAAGCAGUGGGCUGUUGGGUUGUUAUUCAUCCAACUUCCGUUUCCUUCUCGUUAUUCUUUUAUAAGACUUCACAAUGGAGUGGUGCUUAUCUAAAUAACUUAUGCUUGGAUUUCUUUUCCAUAUGUAUUACUUGCUCAUUGGAGGGACACCCAUCCUGUGUUGGUUUUAUAGGCUAGGAUGGGAUAUUUAAUAUUUAAUAUCUUAUGACCAACUUAUUCACUAAAACAUAUUUAAAAUUUUGAUUUAUUCGCCAUGUCUUUAAAUAGUGUGUGGAUGGACUGAGAUCUCUAGUUUACUAUGGACACCCUAUAUUUUUAUUGGUCUAUUGGAGACUUGAUAUUUUUCAAGGAGAAGGUGUCUGUUUUCUU